rnacentral:rRNA from 1 species
GGACUACACGGGUAUCUAAUCCCGUUUGCUCCCCUGGCCUUCGUGUCUCAGUGUCAGGAACUGUCCAGAGACCCGCCUUCGCCACUGGUCUUCCUUACGAUAUCUACGCAUUUCACUGCUACACCGUAAAUUCCAGUCUCCUCUCCAGUCCUCAAGCACCGCAGUAUCGAAUGCAGUUUCAGAGUUAAGCUCUAAAAUUUCACACCCGACUUACGGCGCCACCUACACACCCUUUACGCCCAAUGAAUCCGAACAACGCUUGAGACCUCUGUAUUACCGCGGCGGCUGGCAC